AUGCCUGGUAUUCUUGGUAUGAGAACUGCUGGUCUUACUCCGGCCUCAGAGACUUUAUCAGACAGCAAGAUUCUGCUUUUCUAAGAGGCAAGCCACUAAACUUGAGGUCCCGCACAGCCCUGCAGAGCGGCGCUCAGUGUCCCGAGCCUCAGGGACAGCUCGUCUGCGUUUCGUCAGCUCACUGGAGCUGCAUUUCACCAGGCCCCUCUGCCAGGGCCUCCCCGGCGUCAACAAGUGUCACACCUCCUGCAGAAACAGCCCUCAAGUUUCAUCACAGCGAUGCUAAAAAAUGUUCUCCACCUUCAGCAAUGACCUAGUUCAUUCAAGGGCAGGGAAAAAAUGUCUUCUUCCAGAACUUCCCCGGGCAUGGAAUUUUCCCUCUUAGGAAGAUAGGAGCUUUUCUGGAAACAGACCCACCUGUGCUUUGACCUGAACGUGGAAAAGACCCUGAACCCUGUAACUCCUCUGAAUCCCCAGUCCCAGGAGCAGGGACACCCAAUCAAUACCUCCCACACAGCCUGGGGAGCCCACAGCCGAGCCAGCCCUCCUAUCACGUCUCUUGGACAAAAGGUAUUGAAAAAUUCACAUGGCAUGAAAGGAUGACAGACUCCGGAGAGCCCCAGAGGCGCACACUUUGUUUUCUAUCUACGUUGCUUUCCCAGAAAGUUCCUGAGAAGUCAGACGCCGUGCUUCGCUGCAUAAUAUCUGGUCAGCCCAAGCCAGAGGUAACUUGGUAUAAGAAUGGUCGAGCCAUUGAUGAGUGUGGCAUUGUUUCCAGUUACGAACUCUUCCAGAAUCAGUAUAUUCAUGUGUUACAUCUCUCCUGCUGCAGCCCAGAUGAUGCUGCCGUUUACCAGAUCUCUGCUAAAAACUGUUCUGGAAUGAUUUGCUGCUCUGCUUCUGUUGAAGUCGAGUGCUCAGCAGAGAACCCACAGCUCUCUCCUAACCCGAAAGAUGGCGGGGGCACGAGUUGGAAACACGCCACUGAGGCAUGUGCGCGGGAGAAAACAAGUCAGCUCGAUGAGAAGGAACAUCCUUGUGAGGGGGAAGAAAGUAUCUGGGCAGGUACUCCUGCGUCAGCUGACUCCCCCUCCUCCAAACUGAGCUGUGCGGGCUCACUCCAGUUAUUGGCCAAUAGCGACACCAGUGCCUCCAGGUCUGAAAAUCCCUUGGAUGUUAAAGGAAAGAAGCCAACGGAAGAGGCUUGUGAUCCGAAAGACGCAGAGGAGGUUGCAGACGGGUUGCUUUUUUCCAAUUCAAGUCAUAUUCCUGCUCAACUAAACGUGUGUUGCCACGGCCCAGUGCAUUCCCAAGUAUCGAGGCUAACGGAUGGCGCCUUGAGCAGCGAGGGCCCUCGUGAGGACGUGUCCACCUCUGGCCCAGCAGAGCCCAAAGCGCAGAAAUACAUCAGCUUCAGCCGGCCGCUGUCAGAGGAGGCCGCAUCCGUGCGCCCAGGUGACGGGGCCCCGAUCAAGCAGCAAGUCAGCCCACAGGUGUCCAGCGAAGACUCUGACAGUGACUAUGAACUUUGCCCAGAGAUAACCCUAACCUGCACGGAGGAGUUUUCAGAUGAUGACCUAGAGUAUCUGGAAUGUUCCGACGUUAUGACGGAUUACUCUAAUGCAGUUUGGCAAAGGAACCUGCAGGGGACUGUGCAUGUUUUUUUAUUAGAAAGCGAUGACGAAGAGAUGGAAUUCAGUGCGUGUUGCCUGGGUGGGUGUGAGCAUCUCCUCAGUGAAAUGGGUUGUGGGCCUCGGGUGUCGGAUGACACUGGGCCCAUGGAGGCCACCACUGGCUUCUGCGGUUAUCACUCACAACCCCAAGAAGUGGGGGUGAAGAGCAGCCAAGCCUCCACCCACAGUCCCUCAUCCCUGCAAACGGGGAUGAUUCUGACUUUGGGACCUCACCGGGACGCAACGUCUACGGUGACGGACCCAGGGAGAUAUAAACCGCCCAUGGCUUUGGAGGCCGCUGAAAAUGAUUAUCCAGGAAUUCGAAGAGAAACCAGAGACAGCCACCAGACAGGAGAGGAAUUCGCCAGUGACAAUCUGCUAAACAUGGAGAAAACAGUGAUAGAGACGGCGAUAAAGUGCUUGUCUGGUGAGUUAGAAAAGUCAGGGGUGAACCGGUGGUUGGAGAUCACAGCUGCAGAAGGAGGAGGGGAUGAGGGCUCAUUGACCAAGAGGGGCUCGGAGAAACCUGCCAGGGCGAGGCGGCCCAGCAUGAGAGGAGAACCCAACAUGCUGAGCCCCAACCUGAAAGAGAGUGCAACAGGAGGCACCCUUAAUCUCCUCUAUCCCAAAGAACCUGUUAAGCCCCCACUAACCCAGACUGACAGAAGAGAUGGUUCGCAUGCCAGAGCAGGAGCUGCUGGUUGGAAUUCCCAGGUCCCCGCAGGAGAAUGUGCUACUCAAGCCGGAGCAGAGCAAGAAGCAAAACCCCUGCGAAUGGCACUGGGCUCACUCCCCCAGGGAGGGGACUCAGCCUUCGAGGGAGAAGGGGUGCCUGGCCAGAACCUAUUUGAAACGAGCAGAGUUCCGGACUGGAGGGCUCAUCUUCAGGUGCAAAUUCAGGAAACAGCCAGGGAGAGAGACUUUCUCAGCCCGUUGCCAACUUUCUCAGAUCCUGCUGGGGAGCAGUCUGCAUUUGCUGGGACCACAACAAAUUCCUUCCCCAACACAGGAGGGAUCAACGAGAAAGACACACCACUGGCCCAAUGCCUGGAGCGAGGAAGCUGUACUCGAUGCCCGCAGCAUGGAGAAAAGCAAAACAGAAAAGACCACGCACUUGGAGGGUCCUGGGAAGACCUAGGAUAUGAGCUGAGCAUCCCAGAUGCCAAUAACGAAAAUACGUCCCCCUGGGAGCUUUCAGUGCUUCUCUCCCAGGAGGGCAGCGCUGACCUCUGGGAGUCCAAGGCUCUCUCUGUUGCUUUCCCUGAACCCACAAAUACCAGCCUCACCCCGGAAACUCUAUGCGAUGGGCCAAGGGGCAGGGAAGCCGCGUGCGUGUGGGAGCGUCUUGGAGCCCGUGACCAAGGAACAUGUGAAACUGCGGAUUCUCCUGCUGGAGCCUCAGCUGAUAAAUGUUUGCCUCAGGAAAUUUGCUCUAUGGACCUAGAGCUGGCGGAGAGUCAAAGCAAAGGAUCUGAUUCAUGGUCUCCUGAUAACGAGAUGCCAGGCAUUCUUUCUCAAACAGAAGGUUCUGAGCUUCCACAGUCUCCACGCGAGAGCAGCAAGGAGCGAAACUCCGCCAUGCCCCCUCUUUUUACCAGUACUUUUACCUGGAACAUUUCACAAAAAGCCAGUGAAGGUGGCACAGGGGAAAAUUUAGCAGAAAUGGAGAAUUUCACCUCCACAUUGGUCUCCAUAGUACAGGCUGGCCAGGAGAGGUCAAGCCCCGGCAACUCAGGAGGGUUUGAGGAAAGACAGCCUCUGUGUUCUGAGAAUAGCUCUUCUGUGCAGUUUCUAGAAGUUGGUGACGAGAGCCCCAGUAUCAGUGUCCCCGACACGACAGAUACACCAGCCAGAAAAGGUUCAGUUGUAAUGUUUCCUCAUGAGAAGCCAAUGACUUUAACUGCUAAUCUUGAGUGUCUUCAGGUGACCAGGGAGAGUGGGGACACAUCGACGGUUACCAUGUCCACCAAAGUCCACCCAGCCAAAUACCGCCCUGCUUCAAUUGCUGAGAACAGUCAUGCACAUGGUCCCAAGGAGAGUUCACCUCAGGCACUGGAUGAAAACAUUUGCCAGCUUCCUUCCAACGCACAGUUGGGUCAUAUCUUAAAUGAUUCCACACCCAAAUCGCUAGAAGAGCCCCUCCGCAUGCUUCCCAGUGGACCAGGAGUCCACGUCCAUGUUCCUCAGCUUCCAGAAGUAGAGGGCUUUUGCUGCAGUUUUCCACUUCAGACUGAUAACCGUUCUAGAAAUAAGAGCCUGACUGUGGACAGAGCAGACAGAAGGAGGCUUGAAGAGAAUUUCCAAGACAAAGAAAGUGAAACAACACAGAGAAUCCAGCAAGAGAGCUUACCCCAACAGAGUUCUCCCGAAGAUGAUUUCCAAGAAAGUUGGCCCACGACAGCUGUUGCCCCAGGGGAAUUAGACCCGGUGUCCUUGGACCACUUAUCAGCAAACUCCAAGGUGGAGAGAGGACAGAGCUCAGGCCUGGGGACUAGCAUGUGCAAGGUGGCUGAAGCCACUGUGGAAGAUGGGGGUCAGGCUCCAAGACACAUUCCACCUCUCUCUAAUAUCCCCCUGGAAAUGUCCGGAGGGAGCGGUCCAGGACUUUGGAAAGCAGGCAGCAAGCUGAAGAUUAUAACUCUGGAAGCUUCCAUUCCAGAAGUCUGGCCUGCAAGACAACCUACAGGUUCCGAGUACAAGGAGUUGGAAACUGGUCCCAUAAUUCCUGACAGGGUCUGGGCUGUAUCUGAUGUUCUCAAGGCUCGCAGCCCUCAGGCUGAGUCUGGCUCAGCCCUUGUUAAUAACAGAGAAACCCACAGAAGUGGAAAACCAGCCAGCCGUGCGUAUUGGAGUAGUCUUUCUUCCAAGUAUUUGAGCCAACCCAGACUCCGAGAGUCAUCUGUGGACCCCGUAGAUGUCACAGACUUGCUAUCAGAGCCUUCCAGAACUGGCAAGAGGGAAAGUGUUAACAGUGUGAGUCAAAACCAGGAGGAAAACCAAAUUCAGGCAGAUCACGCUGCCUUCUUUAAACGGUUUCUGACCUGCCCUGAAAUUGUAGAGUCAUCUGUGGACCCCAGGGCUGAAGCAGGUGUGAUGGUGUGUGCCCGGGCUGAGACAGCAGGGCCUUCGGCAUCCACGCCAGCUGCCGUCAGCGAGGAGAGGAAACGAAAUGAUGGGCACGUGGGCCAGAGACUGGAAGUCCAGCCUGCCAUCUUGCAAGUCCCGAGUCCUGACGAAGGAGGGGGAAUGCUUCCACAUGGUUGCGGAAUAAGCCAAAUACAAGAGGGCAUCGUGAGAAGCCCAGGGGAGGCUGAACGAAGUAAAAACAACAAAGCAGAAUCCGUUUUCCCCACUUUACCUCUUUCUGAUGGCCCUGCCGUGAUGACUCAUGCAUCUCUUGGAGUUGAUACUCACAACUCCUCGGGUCAAAUUCAUGACAUCCCCGAGCAGGGUUUCGUGGAGCCCAGAAACCACCGAGACGCAUUUUCUGACUCAAAGGAGAGAGGAGCCGUUGAGAGUGAGUGUGGGAAACAGUCACCCUCUCCCAGUGGUCUCACUCAGUUGCCUUUUACCUCAUGGGCUGAAAGAAACAUCACAAACUUUGUAAAAAGCCACAAAAUCCAGGAACCUACGACGGAGGAGCCCUGCACUGGGGAAGCCAAACCCGCAAGUGCAUCGGGCUCCCUGGCUGUGACCUUGGCAUCUGUGGCAGUUGAACGUGCAUCAGAGAAAGUUCCUAAGACACUGCAGGGCCCUCGUCCACAGGGCUCCAAUCUGGGCAAUGGGCGAAAACCAAGGGAAGAGAAGCUCGGGCCCACGGCCGCCCAGACCCUCAGCUUCCCAAAGUCUCCUCCAGCGGGGAGCGGUUCCAGGGAGGUCAAGAGGCAAGAAACCUCAAGGAGUGGACAUUUAACUGAGGGGGUGAAGGAGAAAAUUCUGUCCAGGGUGGCCGCCCUGAGGCUGCGACUGGAAGGGAAGGAGAAUGUCAGAAAAAGUUCAAGCUUUCUCAAAAGGAUUCCUGAACUUGAAACGUCGGCAUCCGGUGCAGAUGAGACACAAGACACAAAAAAGGCACCUUGCAAAAGAGAAGGGAAAGCUCCGAUCUUACUGAAAAAGAUCCAAGCAGAGAUGUACCCUGACCACUCUGGGAAUGUAAGAUUAAGCUGCCAGUUUGCAGAAAUUCAUGAAGACUCUUCUAUCUGGUGGACAAAGGAUUCAAAGUCAAUCGCCCAAGCGCAGAGAAGUGCAGGCGACAACUCCCCCGUGUCCUUGGCCAUCGUGCAAGCAGGGCCGAAGGACCAGGGCAUCUAUUAUUGCUGCAUCAAGAACAGUUAUGGGAAAGUGACCACUGAGUUUAACCUCACGGCUGAAGUUCUGAAACAACUCACGAGUCACCAGGAUAUGAAAGGAUGUGAAGAGAUUGAGUUCAGCCAGCUCAUCUUCAGAGAAGACUUCCUCAGUGACAGUUACUUUGGGGACCACCUGCGUGGCCAGAUUGCCACGGAGGAGCUGCACUUCGGCGAAGGCGUGCACCGGAAGGCCUUCCGCAGCAAAGUGAUGCGGGGCCUCAUGCCCGUCUUCCAGCCCGGCCACGCUUGCGUGCUCAAGGUGCACAACGCCGUUGCCUACGGGACCAGAAACAACGAUGAGCUCGUCCAGAGGAACUACAAGCUCGCUGCCCAGGAAUGCUAUGUCCAAAAUACUGCCAGACACUACGCCCAGAUCUAUGCUGCUGAAGCACAGCCUUUGGAAGGCUUUGGAGAAGUGCCAGAGAUAAUUCCUAUCUUUCUUAUCCGUCGCCCUGAGAACAGCAUCCCUUAUGCAACAGUAGAGGAGGAGCUGAUUGGAGAAUUUGUGAAGUAUUCCAUCCGGGAUGGGAAGGAGAUAAACUUCCUGAGAAGAGACUCAGAGGCGGGUCAGAAGUGUUGUACCUUCCAACACUGGGUGUACCAGAGGACAAGUGGCUGCCUCCUGGUCACGGACAUGCAGGGUGUAGGAAUGAAGUUAACUGACGUUGGCAUAGCAACACUGGCUAAAGGAUAAACCCCAAGCCCUCCUUCCUGUGUGAAUCCUCCUCAGGACCCACCGCACGGCGGGAAAAGCCCCGUCACUCAGGUUCCUGUGGCUGCUUACCACAGCAAAGGGUGUGUUUGGAGGUAAUCCAUGGCACAGGGAAGCCGUGAUGAGUAGAGAGAGAGAGAGAGAGACAGAGUGAGAGAGAGAGAGAAGCCAGCCAUGCCGUCAGCUGGCAAUUUUUGUAUGAGUCUGAUUAUCAAGAUGAGAGAAAAGAGGACUCGUUUUUCGGCAAGAAAUCAGCAUAGCAUGGCUGCCAACACAUAGUGAGUACUGAAGAAACCUGUGCUGAGUCGGGACAGGGUUGUGGAAAUAGAAAGCUUCCUAGGAUGUUGCAUGACACAACUUUCACGAACAAACCAUAUGCCUGUGUUCCAAUAGAAGGGUGUCUCCAAGGUCCAGUAGGGAUGACUUGACGUCAUCACACUCUAGUUUUCUCCUGGCUUCUCCUAGACCAGUGGCAUCAGCCUCCCCCCAGAGCUCCUUAGAAAUACAGGAUCCCAGACCCCACUCCGGACCUACUGAGCCCAAACCAACAUUUUAACAAGAUCCCCGGGUAAGUUGUAUGCACCACUCCCAUCUGAGGGGAGGGUAUUUAAGCAAAGACCCCACUGAGUGGAUGUUCGGUGGAAUGAAUGUAUGGCUCUAGAGGUCAUGAGGGAGGACGGACAGAUCAACAUAAAGUGAUGGGUUAGAAAAUUAUACUAAUUUGAGGUUAAGGAUAGAAAGAUCCAGUUAGUAAAAUUCCACAGAGCUAAGCUUUCUAAAAAGGGAAAUGUGUGAGAAAGUUCUGCAAGGUUUUAUUCUGUUGUAUUAGAGUCCCGGGGCCGCCAUAAACAAUGACCAUAACCUAGUGGCUUAAACAGCAGAAAUAUACUCCCCGGCGUUCUGGAGGCCAGAAGUCCCAUGUGCAGGUAGGUGUCAGAGCAGGUUCCUUCUGGAGCUUGUGAGGGUGGAUGUGCCCCACUGGGCCUCUCUCCUGGCUUCCCAAGGUGGCUGUCAAUCCUCGGCCUUCCCAGGCUUGUACAUGUCCCGCUCCAGGCUCUGCCUCUGUCAUCACGUGGUAUUUCUCCCUGUGUGUCUGUACCUUUUCUCCCCUUCUUGCACAGACACCAGAAAUAUUGAGUUAAAGGCCCACUGUACUCCAGUGUGACCUCAUUUUAAUUACAACUAUAAUAACUAUUUCCAAACACGGCCCUGUUCUGAGGUUCCAGGAAAGAUAUGCCUCUUGGAGGGAACCCUGUUCAGCCUAGUACGUCCAUCUAACAAGAACAACAGAGGUGAGUGGAGUGGGGAUCAUGCUGGAGAGAUGUCUGGCUAUUUGAGAUUCAUGGUCUCCUCUACUCCUGCUGGUGGCAGAUGGCACAUGGGGCUGGCAAGGGGGACCAGAGGCAGGAGAACCUGUUUUCCCCAUUGCCUGGUGGUAUAGGAGAGCUUUGUGUCCUUUGAAACACUCUGGGUUAAUUGAUCUGGGAACACAAAGGAUGUUGCCCUGUUUUCUUUUAAGGCAUCAGCCACGGCUGUGAGCCUGAGAGAAUUGGCAGUCAUGGCAGCGGCCCAGCUCCCCUGACUGAGACCGAAACCAAACUGAGACCUGAGAUAGGCAAGGGAUGGAAGUUCAUUAUUGUGUGACAUGCCAAGUUGAAGGUCCAAAAUCAGAUCCAGAGAGAAAGAGAAGUUCAGAAAUGUGAUCUGGAGACCCUCUGGGCCAAGCUGAGGCCGCCCUGAGGAUGGGGCUGGUGUCCGUUUGUUUCCUUGACCUUUACUGAAAAGCCCCCCUCCCCGACAGGCAUGUUGGGAAUCAGGUGGUGUUGUAGGAGAGAUGACAGUCUGUGCAGAGAUGUGAAGCAUUCCCUGAAUUCUGAGAAGUGUAUGUAGUUCUCUUAAAGAUACAGGGAAGAUGUUGGCGAUCUCUCCUCGUGGUGAGGACAGGGUCAGGGAGGGCUCCACAGAAAUGCACUUGAGCUGGGGGUGCUAAGAAAGGGGCUCCUAGACCACGCAAAGCAGCCUUCCCUCUAGGGCAUCACCAGGCCCAUGGCCAUCUAUAGUAAAAACCGGCCUCAGUCCCUGCUGCCCUACUCUGGCUUUCCGUGACGACUCUAAAGAGAGGGAUGUAAAGGAAAAGAAGGGGCCAGAUUUCUGGGAAGAGAUCUGGGCUCCCAGGGGAGAGUCAGGAGGGCAGACCUUGCUGGGCUGCCUAGAAGUCCUGUUCCUUUGCCCACACUCAGCCUUUCCCAUUCCAGAGCAUGGGGACUGUUACAGAAGGGCUCCCUGGUGGCCAGACAGUGCUUAAGAAGUGACUCUCACAUUCUCUGGGAGGCCCCAGUGUGAAUUAGUGAUUUUUCUCUGCAGAAACUAGAUGUUGUCUGAAUGUUUAAAAGGCUCAAGGCAGCCUGAGACAGGUGACCGUGACUUGUUUCCAGACGGGGAGCCUGCCCCUGCCCAUGACCUUCCUAGUUUGUGUGAGGAGCGAGGCCUCCCUCCAGCAGAAGGACGGGGUCGGGCUUUCCAUCACGUCUGACAAGCGCACGGGCCCAGGUGGCCUCGCGUCCUGCCCCCAUCCUGCCGGGGAGCGCUCAGACACCAGAUGGAUGCAGUGGGGCUGACAUUCAGCCUUUCUCGCGGUGCCCUGCAGAAGAUAGAGACAUACGGAUGACGGAUGACGUGGUGGGCAGUGGAAUUUCCUCUCCCCUGCUGGAUUCAACUCCUGUCUCCUGCUGACUCUUCCCUCAAUGAGGGAGUCCGGCCUUUAGGAACUGAGUCAUUUUUCAUAAGCAAAUGGACUGUGGGCUCCCAGGAGCAGAGCGUUCCCUCGCAGGGAGGAGGGAGAGGAGGGGAGCAGGCUGGAUUUGUAACAAACUUGUUAAGAGAGACAAGCCUGAUGCUUUGGCCCCAGGGGUGAAAGGAACCUUUUAUUCCCUUGACAGCUUCAAACCCAGCUUGGAUUUCAUAGGGAAAAGCACACAGUCCUGGUCCCCAUUCAUUCCAGGUUCGUUCACCUUUGUGGUUUCUACCAGCAAAUGAAAGAGUCCGGAUUUCUUGUUUGGCCUACUAAUCAGACUUGGCCAGAGCUCUCCCCCACCCAGCGGGGCCAGUUUCAUGGACAUGCUGUGUGGUCUGGCAGGACCCGCACUCAGAAGGACCCUGGGCUUCGUUGAACUCAGGCUCCACUGUCGUUGUCUCCAAAGUCUUCAUAAUUUUUGAACAUGGAGCCCAUGGUUUCAUUUUGUACGGGGGCCCUACAAAUUAUGCCGACCGUUCUGUAUGCCAGGCUCACCCCUGCACCCCCAUUCACCUCCCUCACCUUUCACUCUCAGCUUCGACCUCCCUUCCACAAGAUGGAAUGUUAUAAUAUUGAUCAUUAACUCGGCCAACAUUAACUGAAAUCUGUACAACAUGUCAUGCACUGAGCGAGGUGAUCUGUGUGGAUUUUCUCAUUUCAUCCUCUCAACAGCCCAUCAAACAGCUUUCUUGAUGGGUGGAGAGAUUGGGGGCCUGGGGCUUGUCCCCUCAAGGAGGACACUGACCUUCUGUGAUUGGGAUGUGAAAAAACAGUCAUUUACAGUUUGAGUACGAAAUGUCCCAACCCAAAGGAACAACUCCUGAGAUUACUCCGAGGCAGGUCAGCAUGGUCCUUUCUAGAGCCCGCCAGUGACAGAGGUCCCAUAUUCUUCUCCUGCUGGGGAGCAGAGUUGGGGGGGGGGGGCCGUGACACAGGACAGAGUUCUUCUCUAGAAGGAAGACUGAGAGGACUGCAUCCGAAUCUUGGCUCUUGUACCAACUUGCUUUGUUUUCUUGGCUGGUGCCAGAAAUUCUGGGCCUAAAUUCUCUUAACUAUAAAUUGAAAGGUUGAAACUAAAUAAUUUCUUCCAGCCCUAGAGCUGUAGAAUUUUUUUAUUCAGAACCUCUGGGUGGGCUGGGGUGGCUCUCAGACCACCAAGAGAUCUAAUUUUUAUCAAGAUGGUCCAGCUCUAGUCACUAUGACUAAAAGAAAAAGAGCAAUAACAUGCUGUUUUAUUGGAACCAGAAGCAUCUAGAACACUUGUGUAAUCACAGGCCUUGGGUCUGUACUGUGCAUGCUAGCAGGUCUUCGCCUUUACUCACUCCCACAGGGUUUGGUUCUUCUGUCAAUAGCAACGGCAGGCAUUUGGCCCUUCUUGCCUAGAGCAGGAAUCAGUAUAUUUUCCAUGUACCUUAGUCUCCCCUGUUAAAACUGGUGAGUGUCCUGUUUCUAAAAAGUCUGUGUCCUUCUACCCAAAC